GACGAACGCUGGCGGCGUGCUUAACACAUGCAAGUCGAACGGCAAGGCCCUGCUUUUGUGGGGUGCUCGAGUGGCGAACGGGUGAGUAACACGUGAGUAACCUGCCCUUGACUUUGGGAUAACUUCAGGAAACUGGGGCUAAUACCGGAUAGGAGCUCCUGCUGCAUGGUGGGGGUUGGAAAGUUUCGGCGGUUGGGGAUGGACUCGCGGCUUAUCAGCUUGUUGGUGGGGUAGUGGCUUACCAAGGCUUUGACGGGUAGCCGGCCUGAGAGGGUGACCGGCCACAUUGGGACUGAGAUACGGCCCAGACUCCUACGGGAGGCAGCAGUGGGGAAUAUUGCACAAUGGGGGGAAGCCUGAUGCAGCAACGCCGCGUGCGGGAUGACGGCCUUCGGGUUGUAAACCGCUUUCGCCUGUGACGAAGCGUGAGUGACGGUAAUGGGUAAAGAAGCACCGGCUAACUACGUG
rnacentral:rRNA from 1 species